AGUGCCGCCCAUUUGCAGUGCUGGGAAUUUAAGUUUAUGCACAACUAUGACAGAACCCUGCAUCCACUGGAAUCGAGAUCUAGGAACCUUGAAGAAAAAAAUGGCUCUGCUGUGCACUUUUAACCUUGCUGGUGUGAAUCCUUGAGGAAAUGUGCAGCAUGGGUGUGAGAUGAGGGAAACCCUAUCAUUACAGCUGCCAAAUGCAAAACAAGGCCUAUGAAGUUUCCUAGUUCUCUGUGUAUCGACUCAAGCAGAAGGCAGAAAGACUUCACAGUGAAGGAGGAUCAACACAACAUGCUACUGCUGUGUCAUCACUCAACUCCUAGAGAACACAAUGGAAAACUUCUGAUUAAUGACUUGGAGAGUUGGAGUUACGUUCAAAGCCCCAAAUGAGAUGAAAUGCCUUCUUUAAAGCCCUGUGAAAAUGCUGAAACUUGAUUCUGUCCAUCAGUGGCUCCCUCCCAGUGAUACCACAGGAAACUUUGGAGAGUGGUCCUCAGACUAUUUCAUACAUGGAUCUGACGGCUCGUUUAUAUUGUGUAAUUACGGUGAUGGCCUCUGAGGAAGCUUGAGGACCAGGAGUGGUGUGUCUGCCAAACUACAGGAAGCCACAGCCCCUUUGGUUAUACUUUUCAAAUACCUGAAGCCAGUGGAGUGCUUUAUAGUGGAACAGGCAGCUACGAGAACAUGAUAUGUGACAGCAUGCUCAGUGAAUGUCCUCAUGAGUCAAAGAGACCGUCGACUUACCAGAGCACCGCUGAGCAGCACCCAGUGCGUGUGACUCAGACUAAAUAAAAGACAAAAGGAUCUAUCACACACCACUGCUGUCAUCUUAUUCUGAAAAGUGCAACUGCCCAUAACACACGGUA
rnacentral:lncRNA from 1 species